rnacentral:rRNA from 1 species
AAUGAACGCUGGCGGCAGGCCUAACACAUGCAAGUCGAACGGAUCCUUCGGGAUUAGUGGCGGACGGGUGAGUAACGCGUGGGAACAUACCCUUUGGUACGGAAUAGCCUCGGGAAACUGGGAGUAAUACCGUAUGUGGUCGAGAGACGAAAGAUUUAUCGCCAAAGGAUUGGCCCGCGUUGGAUUAGGUAGUUGGUGGGGUAAUGGCUUACCAAGCCGACGAUCCAUAGCUGGUUUGAGAGGAUGAUCAGCCACACUGGGACUGAGACACGGCCCAGACUCCUACGGGAGGAAGCAGUGGGGAAUCUUAGACAAUGGGGGAAACCCUGAUCUAGCCAUGCCGCGUGAUCGAUGAAGGCCUUAGGGUUGUAAAGAUCUUGCAGGUGGGAAGCUAAUGACUGUACCACCAGAAGAAGCCCCGGCUAACACCGUGCCAGCCGCCGCAGUAA